rnacentral:rRNA from 1 species
CAUGCCGUAAACGAUGAUUACUAGGUGUGGGUGGUCUGACCCCAUCCGUGCCGGAGUUAACACAAUAAGUAAUCCACCUGGGGAGUACGACCGCAAGGUUGAAACUCAAAGGAAUUGACGGGGGCCCGCACAAGCAGUGGAGUAUGUGGUUUAAUUCGAAGCAACGCGAAGAACCUUACCAGGUCUUGACAUCCCAGUGACCACUCUAGAGAUAGAGUUUUCCCUUCGGGGACAUUGGUGACAGGUGG